GCCAACCUAUCUAUUGCUGCAAGCUAUCCCUCGCUGCUAAGCUAUCGCUGCCAACCUAUCUAUCGCUGCCAAUUUAUCUACCACUGCCAAUCUAUCUAUUGCUGCUAAUCUAUCGCUGCUGUCAAUCUAUCUAUCGCUGCUAAUCUAUCUUUCGCUGCUAAUCUAUCGCCGCUGCCAAUCUAUCCCUCGCUGCUAAGCUAUCCCUCGCUGCUAAGCUAUCGCCGCUGCCAACCUAUCUAUUGCUGCAAGCUAUCCCUCGCUGCUAAGCUAUCGCUGCCAACCUCUCUAUUGCUGCAAGCUAUCCCUCGCUGCUAAGCUAUCGCUGCCAACCUAUCUAUCGCUGCCAACCUAUCUAUCGCUGCCAAUUUAUCUACCACUGCCAAUCUAUCUAUUGCUGCUAAUCUAUCGCUGCUGUCAAUCUAUCUAUCGCUGCUAAUCUAUCUUUCGCUGCUAAUCUAUCGCCGCUGCCAAUCUAUCCCUCGCUGCUAAGCUAUCCCUCGCUGCUAAGCUAUCGCCGCUGCCAACCUAUCUAUUGCUGCAAGCUAUCCCUCGCUGCUAAGCUAUCGCUGCCAACCUCUCUAUUGCUGCAAGCUAUCCCUCGCUGCUAAGCUAUCGCUGCCAACCUAUCUCUCGCUGCUAAACUAUCCCUCACUGCUAAGCUAUCCCUCGCUGCUAAGCUAUCGCUGCCAACCUAUCUCUCGCUGCUAAACUAUCCCUCACUGCUAAGCUAUCCCUCGCUGCUAAGCUAUCGCCGCUGCCAACCUAUCUAUUGCUGCAAGCUAUCCCUCGCUGCUAAGCUAUCGCUGCCAACCUCUCUAUUGCUGCAAGCUAUCCCUCGCUGCUAAGCUAUCGCUGCCAACCUAUCUAUCGCUGCCAACCUAUCUAUCGCUGCCAAUUUAUCUACCACUGCCAAUCUAUCUAUUGCUGCUAAUCUAUCGCUGCUGUCAAUCUAUCUAUCGCUGCUAAUCUAUCUUUCGCUGCUAAUCUAUCGCCGCUGCCAAUCUAUCCCUCGCUGCUAAGCUAUCCCUCGCUGCUAAGCUAUCGCCGCUGCCAACCUAUCUAUUGCUGCAAGCUAUCCCUCGCUGCUAAGCUAUCGCUGCCAACCUCUCUAUUGCUGCAAGCUAUCCCUCGCUGCUAAGCUAUCGCUGCCAACCUAUCUCUCGCUGCUAAACUAUCCCUCACUGCUAAGCUAUCCCUCGCUGCUAAGCUAUCGCU
rnacentral:sRNA from 1 species